CCUACGGGGGGCUGCAGUGAGGAAUAUUGGUCAAUGGGCUUACGCCUGAACCAGCCAAGUCGCGUGAGGGAAGAAUGCCCUAUGGGUUGUAAACCUCUUUUGUCAGGGAGCAACGCCGGCUACGUGUAGCCGGACUGAGAGUACCUGAAGAAAAAGCAUCGGCUAACUCCGUGCCAGCAGCCGCGGUAAUACGGGGGAUGCGAGCGUUAUCCGGAUUUAUUGGGGUUAAGGGGUGCGUAGGCGGAAUGCCAAGUCAGCGGUAAAAGCGCGGGGCUAAACCUCGCUCCGCAGUUGAAACUGGGGUUCUAGAGUAGGCGAGGAGUAAGCGGAAUGCGUGGUGUAGCAGUGAAAUGCAUAGAUAUCGAGAAGAACUCCGGUGGCGAAGGCAGGAUACCGGAGCCCAACUGACGCUGAGGCACGAAGGCGUGGGUAUCGAACGGGAUUAGAUACCCGAGUAGUC
rnacentral:rRNA from 1 species